AGUACCAGCUAAAUCACCCUCCAAGCCAAAACCGGUAAUUCACUAAAGCUAAGCAGGGUUGUGCCUGGUCAUUACCUGGAUGGGAGACCACAUGGGAAAACUAGGUUGCUGUUGGAA
ensembl:rRNA 5S_rRNA 5S ribosomal RNA